rnacentral:rRNA from 1 species
UGGGGAAUCUUGGACAAUGGGCGCAAGCCUGAUCCAGCCAUGCCGCGUGAGUGAAGAAGGCCCUAGGGUUGUAAAGCUCUUUCGGCGGGGACGAUAAUGACGGUACCCGCAGAAGAAGCCCCGGCUAACUCCGUGCCAGCAGCCGCGGUAAUACGGAGGGGGCUAGCGUUGUUCGGAAUUACUGGGCGUAAAGCGCACGUAGGCGGGUCGUUAAGUCGGGGGUGAAAUCCUGGGGCUCAACCUCAGAACUGCCUUCGAUACUGGCGACCUUGAGUACGGGAGAGGUGAGUGGAAGUCCCAGUGUAGAGGUGAAAUUCGUAGAUAUUGGGAAGAACACCAGUGGCGAAGGCGGCUCACUGGCCCGUAACUGACGCUGAGGUGCGAAAGCGUGGGGAGCAAACA